AGGGCCUCUGGUGAAGUUGAGGACUGUGAAGAAGGCAGAGGGUGUGGAUGCCCCUCGCGCCCCUCGUGGCGGUGCCCUUCAGGCAGCGGCCACCUCUGUGCAGAGAGCAGUGGCUGUGGCAAGCGGUGAGGUGCCUGUCACUCAAGGGGCCAUCGAGGGCAUCCUCAUCAAGCACACACUGGAACCAGGCAGCUCCAAGGUGGGCAGCAAAGCUGGGGACGAGCUGCAUGCUGCAGCCACCUGUGAGGAGCCAGGUGCCAGGAGCAGAAGCCGCAGCCUGAGGCCCCCUGCCCGGCCCAAGGCAUCCCAAAGUGUAAAGACCCCACCACCACCUGCUUC